rnacentral:rRNA from 1 species
UACGGAGGGUGCAAGCGUUAUCCGGAUUCACUGGGUUUAAAGGGUGCGUAGGUAGGUAUGUAAGUCAGUGGUGAAAUCCCCGAGCUUAACUUGGGAACUGCCGUUGAUACUAUAUAUCUUGAAUAUCGCGUAGGUAAGCGGAAUAUGUCAUGUAGCGGUGAAAUGCUUAGAUAUGACAUAGAACACCAAUUGCGAAGGCAGCUUACUUCACGAUCAUUGACACUGAGGCACGAAAGCGUGGGGAGCAAACAGG